rnacentral:sRNA from 1 species
AUACCCCAUGUUUCCCCAUCACUCGAGGAGUCUGGGCAGAGACUGGACUACACCGUGGGAGAAUCUGCAAAGGUGUUGCUGGAACAGACAUAUUUCUAGUUGUAUGAGGUGGCCUGGACAUUACUCUCGAGCUCCUUACCCAUACUUCAGUAGUAGGCAUUUUUCACUAAAUUGGAGACCACCCUGUUUGUUUGAGUCUAGAACUCAGUUCCAGUACUGUAACUGGAGACCUGACAACCUGAGCCAGACAUCUUUGAUUCAUCUCUCUAGUUACGUCAUGAACGCUGAGGGAGAUGAGCCUUCAUCAAAACGAAGAAAACACCAAGGUGUGAUAAAGCGGAAUUGGGAAUAUAUAUGUAGCCAUGAUAAAGAAAAAACGAAGAUCCUAGGAGACAAAAAUGUUGAUCCCAAAUGUGAAGACAGUGAGAACAAGUUUGACUUUUCAGUGAUGUCCUAUAAUAUACUUUCACAAGAUUUACUGGAAGAUAACUCUCACCUUUAUAGACAUUGCCGGCGGCCAGUAUUACACUGGAGUUUUAGGUUUCCCAAUAUUCUGAAAGAAAUUAAACAUUUUGAUGCAGACGUACUUUGUUUGCAAGAAGUUCAAGAAGAUCAUUAUGGAGCAGAGAUCAGGCCAAGUUUGGAAUCACUGGGUACAAUGCAACUCUUUUUUUUUUUUUUUUUCUUUUUUGAGACAGGGUCUCACUCUGUCGCCCCACUGGAGUGCAGUGGCACAAUCAUGGCUUACUACAGCCUCAACCUACUGGGCUCAAGUAAUCCUCUCAUUUCGGCUUCCUGAGUAGCUGGGACUAGAGAUGUGUGCCACCAUGCCCAGCCAAUUAUUUAAUUUUUUUUAUAGAGACAAGGCAAUGUAACUUUUAGCCAAAUUUACUUUUGAAAAUUCAUGUGUCAUUAAAGUAUAACUUGCUGACAAAGAUGUGUGGCAUAUUUUGGCUAAAAAUCUUAAUUUUAAAAACUUAAUUUCAAAGAGGAAAAGAUUGAGGUACUCACUGGAAACUUUUGUGUUGGUGUAUAAUUUUAAUUCAAACAGAAAGAUGUGUAAGAAUAUCUUAGUAGCUCCCUUUCCUAGGAGUUGUUCUGUCCACCUGUAGACCUAUAAGCUUCUGAGCUCCAGGAGACCAUUUUGUCUCGUUCAUCAUUAUAAUACCAGUGCCUGCCAGUGUCUACCUAAUGGGUAGAUGCCAAAAACCUGCUUGAUAAAUAAACACUCCUAGAAACAAGUUA